GGGAAGAAGACACUGGGCGCUGAGACCACUGCACAAGCUCUUCGCUUUUUUUACAGAGACAAAGGAGCCUUCACUCAGCUGGUGAGAGCAGCUGGAGACGGGCACCAGUUUUGAGGCAGGUGCAGCAGAAGGAAGGGAAAGAAGCUGGAACUGAAAAAGAAGACAUUGGAGGAAGUACAGUGCAGUCAUCCAUAAAGUAGAAAGCACUACUAAACUCCUUCGCCACAGUGUAGUGUUUCCUACUUUAUGGAUGAGUGUACUGUUGGCUACGGUGACAAAGACAGAGGAGCCAAAAUGGCGCCCGCAGAGAGAGAGACUGUUCACAUACAGGAAUUGAGAAAAAGGAGAACCUGCAUUGUUUCACAUAGUGGUGGAGUGCACAGCGCAGAGUGUCACCCACUACAGUUCACAUGGGCUGUGCACCCACCCAACUCUGAACAAAGCUGACCUCAUGCCUCUCCUUUUAGCAAUGACUGGUACUGAAUGCAUUUGUGUAUUAAAAAUUGUGCUCUGGAAAUGUUUUACGUGUCUCCAACUAUAUAUAUAUAUGGAAAUGUUUUAUAUGUCUCAAACUAUAGAUAUGGAAAUGUUUUAUAUGUCUCAAACUAUAGAUAUGGAAAUGUUUUAUAUGUCUCAAACUAUAGAUAUGGAAAUGUUUUAUAUGUCUCAAACUAUAGAUAUGGAAAUGUUUUAUAUGUCUCAAACUAUUGAUAUGGAAAUGUUUUAUAUGUCUCAAACUAUAGAUAUGGAAAUGUUUUAUAUGUCUCAAACUAUAGAUAUGGAAAUACUAAUUUUGUUGAACUGUAUAUGGUCUGGUCUGGUCCUGUAAAAUAGGUCUUAUCAUUCUAUGUGGCAUCAUUCUCCGCUUUUGAUUUAUAAACUUAUAAUGCAUAAUGAUAAGUCUGUAUAAUUGGUGAGUGUAUUGCCAAAUUUCUCCUCAAUAAAGAAUGAAAUAAAAUGUU